rnacentral:misc_RNA from 1 species
CUGAGUACCUGGGUCCUCUAAGGCCCAUACUCCCACCCUUUGUCUACCUACAAUCUUUAAGCUUGCGGCCUGGUAGGCCACUCCUACCCCCUCUACCGAGCUGGAGAGCGGCCCUCCAUAGGAUACUCUAAACACUGCUUCACUGAUGUCGUCUGAGUAACAAAUCAAAUGAAUA